GCCUUCGUAGUGUAGUGAUCAUCACGCUGGACGUGUAGUCCAGAGGUCCGUGGUUCGAGUCCCGGUGAAGGCG
rfam:Stegodyphus mimosarum contig87278, whole genome shotgun sequence.